AGUGAACGCUGGCGGUAGGCCUAACACAUGCAAGUCGAACGGCAGCACAGUAAGAGCUUGCUCUUACGGGUGGCGAGUGGCGGACGGGUGAGGAAUACAUCGGAAUCUACUUUUUCGUGGGGGAUAACGUAGGGAAACUUACGCUAAUACCGCAUACGACCUACGGGUGAAAGCAGGGGAUCUUCGGACCUUGCGCGAUUGAAUGAGCCGAUGUCGGAUUAGCUAGUUGGCGGGGUAAAGGCCCACCAAGGCGACGAUCCGUAGCUGGUCUGAGAGGAUGAUCAGCCCCACGGGAACUGAGACACGGUCCAGACUCCUACGGGAGGCAGCAGUGGGGAAUCUUGGACCAUGGGCGCAAGCCUGAUCCAGCCAUACCGCGUGGGUGAAGAAGGCCUUCGGGUUGUAAAGCCCUUUUGUUGGGAAAGAAAAGCAGCAGGUUAAUACCCCGCUGUUCUGACGGUACCCAAAGAAUAAGCACCGGCUAACUUCGUG
rnacentral:rRNA from 1 species